AAGUCGUAACAAGGUUUCCGUAGGUGAACCUGCGGGAGGAUCAUUAACACGUAUCCAAACGUUAAAACCCCCCCCCGUGAACCUUCAUCCUGCUCUCGUAACCCGCGUAGUUCGCAAUCUCUGAUAAAUCAUAGCCCGGAAAGUUGUAGUGAUUCAGAGAGGUCCCCAUGCCCCCUAAUAACCCCACAGUUUAAUGUGAAGCUCAAUGUAAUACAUUGGGUAAAAAAACCGAACAACUGUUAACAAUGGAUAUCUUGGUUCUC
rnacentral:misc_RNA from 1 species